AUUACCCCUUGUACCUUUGCAUAAUGAAUUAACUAGUAUAAGACUUAACAAAAUGAAUUUUAGCUAAGCAGCCCGAAACCAGACGAGCUACUCACAAACAGUUUACCAAGAACUAACUCAUCUAUGUGGCAAAAUAGUGAGAAGAUUUGUAAGUAGAGGUGACAUGCCUAACGAGCCUGGUGAUAGCUGGUUGUCCAGAAAAUGAAUCUAAGUUCAGCUUUAAAGAUACCAAAAAUUCAAAUAAACCCCACUGUAGCUUUAAAAGUUAGUCUAAAAAGGUACAGCCUUUUAGAAACGGAUACAACCUUGACUAGAGAGUAAAAUUUAACACU
rnacentral:rRNA from 1 species